rnacentral:rRNA from 1 species
AGAGUUUGAUCCUGGCUCAGAACGAACGCUGGCGGCGUGCUUAACACAUGCAAGUCGAACGCGAAAGGGACUUCGGUCCCGAGUAGAGUGGCGCACGGGUGAGUAACGCGUAAGUAAUCUACCCCUGUAUCUGGAAUAACCCACCGAAAGGUGAGCUAAUACCGGAUACGUUUAUCUUGAUGCGAAUGAUGAUAAAGAAAGGUGGCCUCUUCAUGAAAGCUACCGUACAGGGACGAGCUUGCGUACCAUUAGCUGGUUGGUAGGGUAAUGGCCUACCAAGGCGACGAUGGUUAGCGGGUCUGAGAGGAUGAUCCGCCACACUGGAACUGAAACACGGACCAGACUCCUACGGGAGGCAGCAGUGAGGAAUAUUGCGCAAUGGGGGCAACCCUGACGCAGCGACGCCGCGUGGACGAUGAAGGCCCUUGGGUUGUAAAAUCCUGUCAGAUGGAAAGAAAUGUACAGGUGUUAAUAUCGCCUGUAUUUGACGGUACCAUCAAAGGAAGCACCGGCUAACUCCGUGCCAGCAGCCGCGGUAAUACGGAGGGUGCGAGCGUUGUUCGGAAUUACUGGGCGUAAAGCGCGCGUAGGCGGUUUGCUAAGUCAGAUGUGAAAGCCCUCGGCUUAACCGGGGACGUGCAUUUGAAACUGGCAGACUUGAGUACUGGAGGGGGUG